rnacentral:sRNA from 1 species
UGGAAAGGUCCUUUAUUUAGCCACAGAACAGAUGCAGCCCAGGCAGUGGCAGUGCAAGCAUUUCCUCAUUGCUCACACCAAAGUAUCUCAUUUUGCCAUGGAGAGAUCACCUUGUAAGAAAUUCAUUCAUUUCGUGCCCAAUCUCAUCUGAGACUGCC